rnacentral:lncRNA from 1 species
AAAUGUCCAACUUCAAAUGCCCAUAACUUUCUCAUCAAAAAUUCAAAUGAUUCAAAAUUUAAGUCCAAAUUUAUCAUCUUGAAAAGAUCUACGAAUUUUAUGUUGGAGGUUUUUCCAUUUGAGACUUGCAUCAUUAAAACAAAAGGGUUUGAAGUUGGCCACUUUUGGCAAAUUUUUCAAAGGCAUGUUUUGUACGUCAAACUUCAUGAUCAGUUUUCACAAUUUUCCAAACUCCAAAUGGAUUUUUGCCCAACAUAGAUUUUGUUCCUUAUGUCAAGACCUUUCCAACCAUUACUCACAUGCCUAUGUUUGGAUUUUCUAUGUGUGACUUUCGAAGAGAUGAACAUUUGUGACCAAACUUGAAAUUCACAUGGAACCUUCAUACACAAGCAAUUGCAAUUCAAAUUGCAUGUCCAAUUCAACUUGGAAUCAACUCAGCUUGUAUUUCCAAUAGAUUUUGGGCCUCACAUGCGCCUGUACAGGCCCAUGCAUGGAGGACCCAAAGCUUCAUGCACAUGAGUUCUUCACAUCAUUGCUUGGAUCUCAGCUAUAAAUAAGAGCCUUGCCUCAUUCAAAUUUCACCCUGAAUUCAACCUGAAGCUCUGCAGAAUUGGAAACCCAACCAUACCAAAGGAAUUCUCAUUUUUAAUUUCUCAUUUCAAGUUUGAAUUUCAACAAAAUCAGUUGAUCUUCAAUACUUAUUCCUUAGCCUUGCAUUCAUAUUACACCUCAAGAUCAAUUUGGAAGCAAGAGAUUGAGUGGAUCGGUUGUUUAAAGCUGCACUUCAAAGGUUUAUCAUCUAACUUUUUUUAUCUGAAUCUCACCAUGUAAUGUGAAUUGCUUGUGUUGAAAUGGUUUUCUGAAGUCCUCGUGUGAGAGGCAAGCCAGUGGUGGCUUUGAUUUUGUGUUUUGAAGCACUUCAGUUUAUGCACCUGGAAAUUCAAGCUCAGAUUUCUAAUUCCAUAGAGAUCUUGAGAGAAAUUCAAGGUUACAGGGGUGAUGUACAUCACCCCAGCUUCAUUUUGGUAUAAGGCUCAUGCAUUUUGGUUAAGUUUGAAAACCUGCAACUAGUGGCCGGAAUCAGUUGGCUCACCGGAGAAGACGGUGGUUUCCACCACCGUCCCCACGUGGAUGAUUCUAGGCCUUUGGGUCCCACUCCUCCGUUCUAAUCGUGGCCAUGCAUUGUGUUUACUUUUUUAAAUCCAGCGUGUGAUGCGUUUGACUAAUGCCUACCAUGGAAACGCGCUUCUAAACCCUUGGAUGUUGCCACGUAAAUUAAUGAAUUGAUCCAAUGGGCGCUAAUUUUUCUCUUUUUCUAAUUUCUGUUUUAUUUUAUUUUAUUCCAUUUAUUUUCAAAAAUUCAUAACUCUUUUAUUUGGAAUCACAAAAAUAUGAGACCAACACUAAAAUUUUUCUUGAAAAAUCUAGUUUCAUAAUCUGAUUUUUAAUUAUUUUUGUGAUUUCAUUUAGUAUUUUUUGUGAAUUAUUUUAUUUUUAUUAGUUUUUAAUUCAUUUUAAUUACUUUUUGACAUUCAAAAAUUCCUAAAAAUAUUUUCUUAACACAUGGAUGAUGAUAAGUCUAUGAAAAAUAUUCUCAUCAAUUUCUUAUUUGAUUUGAGAUUUAUUUGAGAUUUUAAUUCAUUUGUGUUAUUUUUCUUGAUUUUUAAUUGUUUAAAAAUAGUUUCUGUUUUCAAAAAAUGUUGAGAAAAUUUGUCAAACCUUGUUUGAUCAAGUUAGACUUAUGAUGAUUCAAUUGGACUUAUCCAAGUUGAUUUGAAUUGAAUUUGAAGUUUGACCUUAGUUUGUUCAUUUUAUUUUAUGCAUUUAUUUUAAUUCAAAAAAAUACCAAAAAAUAUGUUUGAUCUUUAUUGACUUCUAAUCUUCAUUUCUCUCCUGUUUUACAUUGAUUGAUGUUGAUUUCAUUCACAUUUGAUCAUUGUGUUUUGAUUAUGUCAUUUGAUUUCUCCUUUAUCCAUUUCAUUUCAUCUUCAUUUUCUUCUUCUUUUUAUUUUGGCCAAUGAGUUAAUGAUUUGUGGUUAGUCUUGACAUAUGAGAGGCUUAACCUUCUUUGAUCCAAAUCAAACUCAACUUGAUCAAAGAUCAAGUGAGUUGCUUUGAGGCCAAUGAGUUAAUGACUUGUGGUUAGUCUUGACAUAUGAGAGGCUUAACCUUCUUUGAUCCAAAUCAAACUCAACUUGAUCAAAGAUCAAGUGAGUUGCUUUGUGUCCAAGAUAGGUUGCUUCUUGGUCAAGCAAAAAACCUAAGAUCCAUACAAGGUCUUUCCUUCUUUUCUUUUGGCAUGGCAAGUUGUAGGAGUUUGACUUACUAGUCAUGAUCUCUAACUUGUGUUUAUUUGCCUAUAGUUUUAUUUACCGGCCUCAGAUAGGUGUGAUUACUACAUUAGUCCACUUACGAUUGCUUAACAUAGCGCUAAAUUGUCUUAUGACAUACUAACAUUGACUACUAAUUACUAACUUUAAUUCAAGCAUUUGAUUCUUGCAAUUUACUUUAAUGCAAUUUAUUUUCUUGAUCAUUUAUUAAUAUUGCUUUUCCCUUUGCUCACUUGAACUCAUAUUUUAUGUUUAUGCCAUUCUCUUUUUGCUCACUUGAGCUCAUUAUUGUGAAUAAAUAUAUUGUGGCUUUGUGUUUGUUUUGUCUUUGUUUGUGUGAACCCAAUGCAAAAAGGAGAAAAGACUUAGAAUUAGGACCUUACCUAUGCUUAAAGGAGUUCAAGAGCAACUAGGCCUCAUGCCUUUAGAAUUCUAAAUUGAUUGAAGAGCAACUAGGCCUCAUGCCUUUAGAACUCUAAAUAUUGAAAGUUGACUUCAAAGGACCCCUAAUCUAAACUCAUUCUUUGUCCAUUUCUCUUAUUGCAUUGUGAACCUUUUGAUUUUUUGUUCUUGUGUGAUAGGGAUUCCAAACUUGAGAUAGUAAGAAGGACCAUUGUCGUGAAUAGCCAAGCUAAGAGAGACAAGCCAAAUGGAAAUCCUAGGAGCUUGAAUGUGAUACUUAUUUGAUUACUUGAGUUAAUUGCUUGUUGCUUGCUAUGUCCAAAGAAAAUGAGCAUUUUGAAUCAUCUUUAUGAUCUCAAGAAAGGAACUCCAAGGGUUUUAUCUCUUCUCUCAUCUUUGCAUGUUUAGGACUAGCCCUUCUCUUCUUCUCUCCACUCUAACCUAAGUCAAACUCAUUUUGUGCAAACAUUGACAUUGUUUUCAAAUUAGAAACCUAGGCCAUAUGCCUUUGAUUUUUCAAACUCUUUUCACUAAUACUUAUUUUGAAUGAACCUUAAGUCAACUUUGACUUCAUUUUGUAAAUACUUCUAACUUGUAAAUACAACUCACUUCAAGUUAAUUUUGUGGUUCCAAUGACCACUUUUGUUAAAACCUUUUUCAUAAACAUUAGCCAUAGGUUUGAGUUAUCAUAGUGGUUGAUGUAAACCUCACCUUAUCCUUAGUGAUUGGACUAUAAAUCUUCCAUACUUAUUAUAGGGUGGAUCCGUCACUAGUAUGUUAAAGCUCUCCUCACAUGGUGGAUUGUUGGUUUAGGUUGAGUUUUCUCCCUUUGAUAACAAAAGGCCUUAAGGCUUUUGAUUAAAUCAAUUCACCCAUAUUUUGAGAUUUUUACCCCGAACUACAAGGUUUUGAUUCUACCUUUGUGAUGGUACGUAGGCAAUGGGUUCAUCCAUUAAAACAACAAAAUUGUAAAUAAUAUGUACAUUCUUUUCUCAUCUCCCCAAUCUUAUUUGCAUAAAUAUUUUCACAAAUACCAACCUACAAUACAACUUUGCAAAAAGGGCUCCCUUAGAGUACUAAGGAUGUUUUGGGUGCUUAAAACCUUCCAAUUUCAUAACCAACCCCCUUACCCAAAUCUCUGACAUUUUUAUUAGUUUUUGAUUUGAUAAAACUACUUGGUUUUUGUUCGCUUUCUAACCUUUCCUUUGGAUAAAUAAAAGUGCGGUGGCGAAUCGAAUUGUAUGCUUACUUUUGAUUUAAUCAAUAAAUCUAAAGGUAACGAAUACCCCGCUACAAUACUUCCAAAAGCUUUUCUGGCAAUCCUCGGUCCAAUCACAAGUCUGGUCUUUUCAUAGAAGCUUGAAUAUAGGCGCACAUGUGUCAGUCAUGUGUGAAAUGAAUCUUGAGAUAUAAUUCAAGCGGCUAAGAAAGCCUCUGACUUGCUUCUCAGUUUCGGAGGCAGACAUCUCUUGUAUUGCUUUGACAUUGGCAGGAUCAACUUCAACACCCUUCUCGUUGACAAUAAAGCCCAACAACUUACCAGAACGAACACCAAAUGUACACUUAUUGGGAUUCAAGCGGAGUUUGUACUUCCUCAAACGCUGGAAUAAUUUCAACGAAUGCUCAACAUGUUCUUCUUCAUCACUGGAUUUAGCGAUCAUAUCUUCAACAUAGACUUCGAUCUCUUUAUGCAUCAUAUCAUGAAAAAGAAUGGUAAUUACUCUCUAGUAAGUUUCCCCAUCAUUCUUUAGACCGAAAGGCAUCACUCUAUAACAGAAUGUUCCCUAGGGUGUAAUGAAUAUGGUCUUCUCCAUAUCCUCGAGUGCCAUUUUAAUCUGAUUAUAACCGGAAAGUUCGUCCAUAAAUGAAAAGACUUUGAAUUUAGUUGUAUUGUCUACCAACAUAUCAAUGUGUGGCAGAGGAAAAUCAUCUUUCGGACUAGCUUUGUUCAAAUCUCUAUAAUCAACGCACAUGCGAACUUUUCCAUCUUUCUUCAGAACAAGCAUAAUAUUGGCCACCCAUUAUGGAUACUCAGCAGUAACAAUGAAACCAACAUCAAUCCGCUUAUGCACUUCUUCUUUGAUCUUUACUACCAUAUCAGGAUGAGUCCUCCUCAACUUCUACUUGACUGGCGGGCAUUCUAGCUUCAAAGGCAAUCUAUGCUCCACAUUCUCAGAAUCCAAACCAGGCAUGUCUUGAUAGGACCAAGUAAACACAUCCAAAUACUCUCGAAGAAGAUCAAUCAACCCCUUCUUGACCUCUGGACACAGUUGAGACCCAAUCUUGACUUUCUUCACAUCAUCUUCAGAACCCAAAUUGACUAACCCAAUCUGCUCUUAGAAUGGAUGAAUGGCCUUUUCCUCAUGCUCAAGAAGACGAGACAAUUCAUCAGACACUUCUUCAUCACUUUCUUCCUCAGCUUCAAACACAGGGAAUUCAAAGUUUGAAGAAGGAGUAUGAUCAUUGUAUUCAAUGGGUUUAGAAACCAACCUGCAUAAUGAUUUGAUAUUUUUAUUUUAGAGAAGUGAAUUGUGACCAAAUAUUAUGCAGAUGGACAAUUAUUAUUUAUUUAUUUAUAUUUUUUUGUGAUUACCAUUUUCAGAAAAGCAAAAAAGUAAAAAUAAAAACACCAUAUAUGUGGAUGAAUAGAAUUGCAUUUUAUUGAUGAUCAAAUUGAAAGAUUCCUAACAAUGUUCACUUUUCCCUUAGGCAUAGGAGAAGGAUUUUCAAAAAUAAUAAAACAAUUACUUAGAGUGAUGAACAAUAACAAGACCAUCAACAGCGAUCCAAUUGUUGCAAGCUUUUCCAUGCGUCACAAAAUUGGUGCAAACUUCAUCUUCAUCACCCUCGAUUAUAGUAGUUGAGUGUUGUUCAUUACCAUGGAUGAACCCUCCACUAUGGAAACUAGGUUGCACACCUUCAACUUUAACCGCAGACGACCCUUGUUGGAAACCCAAACCGGACUGGUUCUUGUUCUCAGCAACCUUUACCAUCCGACCCCACUGAUCAGAACUACCACCUUCAACAAUCUUCUAAGCGUCUUUAAAAGAGGACAUAGGUUCCCCAACUUUCUUCUCUUCAACAAUAGAUAGAGCUUGGAAUGAAGUUCCAAUCUCAUCCUUAGCUUCCACAUACGAGAAAGACGAUAGAUGACUCACUAACAGCGCUUUCUCCCCGCCCAUAAUGACGAGCUUACCAUUCUUCACGAAUUUCAAUUUCUGAUGUAGAGUAGAUGUCACAGCUCCUACCUCAUGUAUCCAUGGCCUUCCUAACAAGCAUCUAUAGGCCGAUGGAUAUCCAUUACCUGGAAAGUAAUUUGGAAAUCACUCGGACCUAUCUUCACUAGAAGAACCACUUCACCAAUAACAGUUUUGCGAGAACUAUCAAAAGCUUUGACGAUCACGCCACUGUAUCUCAUCGCAGCUCCUUGGUAGGAUAAUCUUGACAAAGUUGACUUGGGGAGUACAUUCAACAAAGAAUUGGUAUCUACCAACACAUUAGACAAUGCAUCUUCCUUGCAUUUCAACGAUAUAUGUAGUGCCAAAUUGUGGUUCCUACCCUCCUCGGGGAGUUCUUCAUCACAAAGCUCAGAUUAUUGCAGGAAGUAAUGUUAUCUACAAUGUGGUCAAAUUGAUCUACCGUCACAUCAUGUUCCACAUAAGCUUGUUCCAACACCCUUUGCAAUGCUUCUCUAUGCGCUUUAGAAUUCAUAAGCAGAUACAACACUAAAAUCUUGGAAGGAGUCUGGAGCAGCUGCUCCACCAUAUUGAAUUCACUCUUCUUUAUCAAAUGAAGCCCCUCAUCAUCAUCGUUAGGCUUUAGCUUGCUGGAUUCACCAGACUGACACGCAGGAGCACUAACUGGACUUGUUGCAGGCACUUCAACCUUCUUACCAACAUCCUUUACAUCUUUUGGGAAAACAAGACCAAACACACGACCGCUACGGGUCACCUUCACUAUGUCAGCAAUAUUCAUAACAGAAUUAGUCGUAGGUAAUGGGACCUCUUGACCAUUCUCCACCAUUGUAACGUUAUCCUAAUAAUGAACAUCUCUAUCGGAUCCAUACAGGAUUGGGCCCGCUAACCGUAUCACUAACGACGAUACCGAUCUAUUAAUGAUGUUACUGCUGCUAUCAAACUGAAUUACUACCCGCCCUGGGGUCUUAAACAUUGGUACUAUAACAUUGACAUCAUCCAUGUCCCUUGAUUCUUGGAUCUGGAUUACGUUCUCAUCCAUCAACUUCUGGAUAUCUCUCUUGACAACCGAACACCCACAGGGGUUUACAUUGCAAAUCACACAACUGGCAUGUUCAUGCUCACAAUCACUAAUAGUGCACAGGGUUUUAUGCAUCUCUACCAAGGACCGACGAAUACGUCGCACAUCGAACACUUGGAAACUUCCUAGACAUCCAUCUACCAUAUUAACAGAGGAAUUACCUAAGCUGGCAAUGGGUUAGCUUUAAAAUUCGGCACACGAUCCUCAAAGGACAUCAUCCUACUCUUUACUAGCUUCUGGACCUCGUAUUUCAACGGGUAGCAAUUCUUGAUAUCAUGGCCAGGAGCCCCUUGAUGAAAGGCACAUCGGAGUUCUGGCUACCACCAUGGAAGUGGUUCUGGAAUUUGUGGAGGAUUUCUUGGUUGGAGUAGGUUCUGGAGAACCAAAGACGGAUAUAACUCAGCAUAUGACAUAGGAAUAGGGUCAAAAGAGACCUUUUUCCUCUCAAAGUUUUGUUGUUAUUGUUGAUUAUUGGUGGUGUUGUAGUUGUUGAUUCUUUGUUGCGGUUGUUGUUGACGUUGUUGUUGAACUGGCAUUGAUUGAUUGUUUGAAUUGUUUGACAACACUGGAAUAACUUAUGAAACUUGAUGUUGAUGCUGAUGCGGUUGCGGACUUUUUCUAACAUGAGACCUCCUCUGCCUCCCUACUGACACUGUAUUGGUUUCACCUUCCUUCUUCCUAGCGAAACGGUUAUCAUAUUUCUUUCUUGAUGAUACCUCUUCCUUAGACAAACGUCCCUCACGGACACCCUCUUCUAAUCUCAUCUCCAUAUUUACCAUUUCGGUAAAGCCACUAGGGGUACUAGCAAUCAUUCGUUCGUAAUAAAAUAAACUUAGAUUCUUGAGGAAAAUCUUGGUCGUCUCUUUUUCUUCCAACGGAGGGUUGAUUUGAGCAGCAAGCUCUCUCCACCUCUGGGCGUACUCUUUGAAUGUCUCUUUAUCCUUCUGAGACAUCGACCUCAACUGGUCCCUAUCUGGUGCCAUAUCAACGUUGUAUUUGUACUGUUUCACAAAGGCCUCACCCAAAUCAUUAAAUGUGUAAACACUUGCAUUAUCCAUCCCCAUGUACCACCUCAGAGCGGCACCAGUCAGACUGUCCUGAAAGUAGUGAUUCAAUAACUUAUCAUUAUCAGUUUGCGUCAACAUUUUCCUGGCAUACAUGACAAGAUGGCUAAGCGGGAAAGUGUUUCCCUUAUACUUUUCAAAGUCGGGGACUUUGAACUUCAUCGGGAUCUUGACGUUUGGCACUAAGCAAAGUUCUGCAGCACUCUUACCGAACAAAUCUUUUCCCCUCAAGGUCUUUAACUCCUUUUACAGCUCAAGGAAUUGGUCUUUCAUCUUGUCCAUCUUCUCAUAAACAUCCGGACCCUCAGACGGCUCAGAAUGGUAGAUGGUGUCCUCAACACGAGGUAGGGUGUGAAUAACUCGGGGAGGCACAAACAUGACCGGUCUAGAUGUCGGCAUGGAAGCAAAGGUAGGCGCAAAACCUUCGGGCACAAAGUUCGGUGGCAUUCCUUACGGGAAUCCGGCAGGCAUAGUUGGAGCGAAUUGAGUGGCAGACACAAUUGAGGUAGCAACCUCUGAGAUGACAGUCCUCUGAGGAGGAGGAGUUGCAGGCGUUGGAGAAGACGGACUCUGAGCAUCUAGAACAGACUCCAUCAUGGCAGUCAAGCAGACAUUCUUGUCCUUCAACUCUCGGUUCUCUUGUUCCAAAUGUUCCAUGAUUCUCGGAUGAUUGGCGUGAGUAUUAUAUCGAUGAGUCGGCUUGGUUGAAGCAAAGAAGAAUAACCAAUAAGACAUUUGGCAGAAGAAAAACCUGUUAUGCAAAAAAUGCAUGAAAUGCAAUGUUUUGAUUGUUUUUAUUUUCAAGGAACAUGCUAUUUUAUUUGAAAAUAUAUAAUAACAAAUGUAACAAUUUGAUUGACCAUAAAAAUUUAUUUUAUUUGUAUAAUUUGGAAGGUUUACACUGAGUAGAAUUUUAGAAACCAAAAUACAAAUACAAGAGAAAAGUGUUGGUUCUAUGUGUUGGCAUCAAUUUUGGUAAAACUUAGUGUUAUCACAAGAUGUCACGCGUGUUGUCUUGACAUGUGAUAUCAGCUUCUUGCAGGUUGUUUAAAUAUGGUUGUGGGGGAUUUAGUCAAGAUGUCAGACCCGAUCUUAAGACAUGUGCAUACAGAACAUUCAGUCUGAAUGUUAUGUGUUUUGUUGUUUCGUUUUUCAUGCAAAUCUUUGUGUGCUUAUGUGGAGAUUGCAUGCGCUAUUCAAGGAGUAAUUCUAUUUAAAACCAGAAUGUUAUUUUUUCCAAAAGGGAAUGAUUAGUUGCUGGUUCUUAGGAGAUACGCUAUUAAAAUAGAAUUAGGGUUUCAUGCUGCCCCAGGCCCAUUCAAAAAGCUUCUAUUUAAAGGCCAUGUAAAACCUAUUUUAAACACACACGAUACGAACGAUGAAGUGAGAGAGUUUUAGGGUUUUAGUCUUGUGUGAAGUUGUGAAUUGUGAGCCAUUCAUUCAUCUUGUUGAUGUAUGAAUUUGACUGAGUUUUGUGUUAUAAUUUGUCAACUCUAAGCUUUGAAGUACGAGUGUAUUUUUUUACUUGGUUGAAGAUUUUAAGCAAGAUCAAGUAUGUGUCCUUGAAGUGUGUCUUCUUUCUUUUUGUAUUUAUUCUUAUAUCACUGCUGUGAUUGAGGAGGAGUGAGUAGGGUCUCAUAUCUAAGAGUUCUUAGAUAGAAGUCACAUGGAUAGAGAUUAGGUGAAAAUACUGUAACUUGAAGUUGUUUACUGAGAGUCUUUGAACUAAUUCUGUUUAGUGGAUUUCCUUCCUGGCUUGGUAGCCCCCAGACGUAGAUGAGUUUGCACCGAACUAGGUUAACAAUUGCUUGUGUCGCUUGUUCAAUUGUUUCUCUAUUUUUAUCAUGUUUAUAUUUCACUUGUUGUUCAGAUAUUAGUGUCGUGACAUUACCUUCGACAUCUCAUAUCUGAUACCAGAAUUUCAAUUGGUAUCAGAGCAAGCAUCCUGUUCUGGUUCUGGGUGAGAUCCUGGGAUGUUACUUUUUGGUACUAUGGAUAGAGACGGAGGAUCUGUGCAUAGACCACCAAUUAUGGAUGGAUCUAAUUAUGACUACUGGAAACCUUGGAUGGUAGCCUUCCUGAAAUCGUUGGAUAAUAAGGCUUGGAGUGAUGUUCUAACAGGCUGGGAACACCCCUUCACUACAAAGGAUGAAGAAGUUAUAACUGAUAAGAAGCCUAAGGAAGAAUGGACCAAGGAGGAGGAUAAACUAGCUCUUGGAAACUCUAAAGCAUUGAAUGUUAUAUUCAAUGUGAUUGAUAAGAACAUCUUCAAACUGGUGAACAAUUGUGAGAUGGCUAAAGAUGCUUGGAAUAUUCUCAAAACCACUCAUGAAGGUACCUCUAGAGUGAAGAUGUCUAGAUUGCAACUGCUUACUAUAAAGUUUGAGAAUUUGAGAAUGAAAGAAGAUGAAAGUAUUCAUGACUUCCAUAUAAAUAUCCUUGAAAUUGCUAAUGCCUCAGGAGCCCUAGGUAAGAAGAUGUCAGAUGAAAAGCUUGUGAGGAAAAUUCUCAGAUCACUUCCAAAGAGAUAUGCCAUGAAAGUGACAGCCAUAGAAGAAUCUCAAGAUAUCUACAAGAUGAGAGUGGAUGAGCAAAUUGGAUCCCUCCAAACAUUUGAGUUGGGAAUGAGUGAUGGAUCUGAAAAGAAAGUCAAAAGCAUAGCCUUUGUGUCAAACACUGAAGAUAAAAAGGAAAAAAGUAGUCAGGAUACUGAUGAAGAUAUGGCAAAUGAUUUAGCGUUACUUGGAAGACAAUUCAAAAAAAUCUUGAAGAGGGUGGAUGUGAGGUCAAAGUCUAAUGUCAACAACAACUCAUUUGACAUCAGUAUGGCCAAUGAUGCAGGAAGAAGAACAAAAUCUGAAGAAAAAUCCAGACAGGGCAAAGGAAUUCAGUGCCACGAAUGUGAAGGGUAUGGUCACAUUAGAGCUGAAUGUGGGACCUAUCGGAAGAAACAAAAGAAGAGUCUUGCUACUACUUGGUCUGAUGAUAAUUGUAAAAGUGAGAUAGAAGGAGAAUCUGUCAAUCUUGUGACUGCCUUGACUGGGAGAUGGGAUCCUGAUGUAGACUCCAGUGAUGAUGAAUUAACAUUUGAUGAAUUAGCUACUUCUUACAGGAAGUUGUGCUUCAGAAGUGAAGAAGUGUGUCAACAAGUGGAGAAUCAAAAGAAACUGGUAACUCAGCUAGAGGCUGAGAGGACAUAACACUUAGAAACCAUCUCUAAGUUGAAGAUUGAAGUUGUGUUCCUGAAUUCCAGACUGGAUGAGAUGACAAAGCAUGUCAGAAUGCUAAAUAGUGGAUCUGACACCUUAGACAAAAUCCUCCAGGCUGGAAAAAUGGCAAGAGACAUGACUGUCCUUGGGUUCAAUGAAUCCUCUCCUGACUAUAGUCUCACUGGUAGCAAACCAAAGAUGUCACAUCAGGUGUCUCAACAUCACAAGGAAAGACAACAUAAAGGAAAACACCAAAGAUGGAGAUGUCAUUACUGUGGGAAAUUUGGUCACAUAAAACCUUUCUACUUUAGGCUGUAUGGUUAUCCUAGUCCUACUCAUCAACCUAGACCCAAACAACACAUCCCUGCUAACAGAAAAUAGUGGGUUCCUAGGGAUGGUGCUACUAACUCGAUAGCUCACACUUCCUUCAGAGUCUCAGCCAAAGAAGAUUGGUACUUUGACAGUGGAUGCUCCAGACACAUGACUGGAAACAAAAACCUACUGGUUGACCUUCAAUCCCAUGUCACCAGCUAUGUAACUUUUGGUGAUGGAGCAAAGGGUGAAAUCAAGGGGAUUGGAAAGUUGAACUGUCCUGGAGUUCCUAACCUUGAUAAUGUGCUGCUUGUUAAAGGAUUGACUGCAAACCUGAUCAGCAUCAAUCAACUAUGUGAUCAAGGUCUAAAUGUGAAAUUCACAAAAACUGAAUGCUUGAUUACUAAUGCAAAAAAUUGAGGUGAUCAUGAGAGGAUUCAGAUCUAAAGACAACUGCUAUAUGUGGAUUCCUCAAUAAAUUAGUUAUUCAUCCAUAUGUGCUCUAACUAAAGAAGAAGAAGUGAAACUAUGGCAUCAAAAAUUGGGUCAUCUAUAUCUUAAAGGAAUGAAGAGGAUCAUAUUUGUUAAAGCUGUCAGAGGAAUCCCAAAAUUAAAGAUUGAAGAAGGAAGAGUAUGUGGUGAAUGUCAGAUAAGAUGAUACUCCAUAAUUUGUAUCUAUAGAAAUGCUUUAGGGGUUGUUUUGAUUUUAACACAAGUUUUCAGUACUUAUUUUGAUCGGUAACUACGAAAGUAGAGCCUAGGUAUAGUUGGGAAAGAUCGAAAGUCAUCCAACUCUUAAAGAUAAACUUGGUUAGUUUAACUGGUCAAAAGUAGCGAAUGCACUCUGUCCUGUUAAUUGGGAAUUUUUAACACUAUUAGAAAACAAUUUUGAAACUAUUUUCGGACGCGUUUGUAGGUUUAAAAUCCGGAUCCUUGAGUGAAAGCCAUGGAUCCCUUUUAAGUUAAACUUUUCAAAUCAAAAUCACUUUUUAAAUAAGUCAAGAAUUAAAUUUCUUAAAAAUAGGUUUACUACUUUAACGCAAUAAGCACCCUUCAUAAGUGACAAUGAAGAAGAUUAAUUAGAGAGUAAACUUGGUUCUGAAUACACAAAAGCGAUAGUUCCUGUUAAAUUGAUUCUUCUCAAAGUAGAAAAUAUUGCCCCAUAAGUAAUUAUAUUUAUAAACAAUUGGAGUAUUUCCUAACUAAUGUGAAUUACAUUCGAGCCUGCAUUUGUAAUCUGAAUUUAUUUACCUCAUUAUUCCGUUUUCUGUGUAUGUGAAUCUACUUAUUUGAAUUGCCUUAGAUAAACACUGUAAUGAUAGAAAUCGAUAGAUUGACAAUUUGGUCUCUGAGGUAACGAUAAUCUUUUGUAUUACUUUGACGUUUUAAGACCCCAAUUUUGACCCUAAGAUCCCUCAUGCUAUUCUCAUCAUAUGCAUUAGCAUUGGGAUCACAUAUUGGUAUCCUCCUUACCCCUCAUUCAUUGGGUUUUCAUUAGGAGAGAUCACCAAGCACUGUUUGAUUGUAUCAUACUUUGUUUUUCAUUAUUUACUAACCAAAAUACCAAAAACAUGUAAUUGUAUAGUUUAACUCUUUUGUGGGUAGUGCACAUGCUCACAUAUGCUCUAUCAAGUUCAUAUAUAGGGUUUGAGACCCUCAUUGCAAGGAUCUCAAUCAAGAAGUGGUUUAAUAUGGCUCUAAGUAUCACAUAUGGAUCCCCAUGAUCUUCACAUAUCAUUUUGAUCAAGAAAUCAUCAAGAGUUUGGAGUUGGUCUGCCUUGGAAACCCUAAUUCAUCUAGGUAUCUUGUGUAACUUAUUCAACAAGUUUCUUCACCAAUUGAUCAAAUAUUUCAAGGGAUGCUUCAAAUUUCAUCAUAUUAUGCAUAUAUGAUCCUCCAUGAGUCCCAAAAGUCAAUAUGAUAUCAAGCUAGCAAGUUGGUUCAUGGUGGUUGACCAGAGGAAUUAAAUUGAUCAAAACUGGGAUUCCCUAGACCCUAUCUCCUACACUUUUUGUCAUACAAAACUGAUUCCAAGAGAAAAGUUACUCUAAAUGACAUUCCAAACAACUUUCAUGCUGAGUUCAAGAGCUAGUUUUGCUUGGGAAGUCAUUUUUAUGGUGAACGAUUAUAGGUCAUUUUGUCUAAACCCUAAUUUGGAGGUCAACUUCCCAAGACCAUAACUUGCUCAAUUUUUGUGAGAUGAAAGCCACUCAAGUUGCACGAUCAAAUUCAAGAUGUCUACUUCAACUUUUAUGUUUUGAGGAAGUUCAAAUUCAACUUUUAAAUGCAUGUGCUAUGAGGAAACAUUAUAGGUCAUUUUGGGCCAAUACCAUUGGAAAAGUGAUUUUCCUCAACUUCUAAAAUGCAUAACUCCUUCAUGCUAAAUCCAAAUGAGGUCAAAUUUGUUACCAAUUUGAAUUAAUUUGAGAGAGAUACAACUUUGAGGAAGGGACGUUUCUCCUUUGAAGUCCAUAGAAAAAGUUACUCAAGGUGGAAUAAGUGAACAUAUGGCUUGGUUCUUAGAAAAUGUUUUGAUAUGUUUGAUUUUCCAAACUUCCACCUCAAAAUUCAUCAUGAUCCAAGCUUCAAAUGAAAAAGUGUCCAACAUGAAAGUUGUUCCUCUUAAUCUAAUAUUUCCAAAAUGUCCAAAUUCAUCCUAUUUGGGAAAAGUAUGAGUGACUUGCACAUGGCUUAAUGUUGAAUGACCAUUUGGCAUAUUUGAACUUCCACUUUCCACACACUAAUGCAUGGCUUGUUAACAUGACUUCAUCAUUGCUUGCACAUGAUUUUGGACCUGAAUGCAUCAUUACAUGGGCCUAUCACACGCCCAUGCAUACAUGCAAGGCAAUUUGCUAAUUUUGAAAGUUCGAAAGAAGUGUGCAAAUAUCAAAGGCUUUGGCUAUAAAUAGAAGUGUCUAUGCUCAGAAUUGAGGACCCUUGUGCACCAGUUUUGGAGCUACAACCCUAAACCUCCAUAAUCAAAGGAUAACCUUGAGGAAUUUCAUUGAAAAAUCGAGUUAGAAUCUCCCACUAUUUUAAGAUUCAAAACUCUAAGAGUCCUGCUUCUUUCUUGAUCCAUUUCCACUCCAUCAAGCAUCCAGAGUAAGGCCAAGUACAAUUGAGAGCAAGAUCGUGUCCAUCUGAACCUGCAUUGAAGGUGAAUUUCUGAAUUUUUUAUCUCUUCAAUUCUCACUCAAUUCUCCAUUAUUCUUGAUAAUUUUUGGUUGUCUGAAGUCCUACCAAUGUAGGCAAGAAGAUUGAGUUGCUUUUAGGUCAAAUCAAAGCAACUCAGAUCAUGAUCCUCAAAAUUCAACUCCUUAUAUCUUUCAAUAUAAUUUGAUUUAGGUGAAAUUGAGGCCAGAUUCAAGCCCCUGAGCAUUUUUACUUUAAAAUCAUGUCUUCCUUUUUUAUUUUGGUGAUGGUUGAGGGUGGAUCAUUCCGAUGAGGUGCAACGGAGAAGAAGACCGGAGCUCUGGCUCCGGCGAUGUAUUGGCUUGUCCCAAGACCACAGGGUCCUUCUAUUUUGUUUUAAUCUUGAUCGUCCAAAUUGAUUACCACACAUGUGGCACAUUGACUAAGGAACAUCAUGGAAUGCACGCUCUGAUCCACUUGAUCUCCCACCUCAAUUAAUGAGGUAGAUGAAGUGGUCCACGUAUUUUUGCAUUUUCUGAUUUUUAUUUUUAUUGACUUAUUUUCGUUAAUUCAUAUUAAUUUUAAUAUUGAUCCAAAAAAUAUUGGACUUCCACUAAAAAUUCUCAAAUAUUUUUCUCUUUCAUUUUCUGAAUUAAAAUUAUUUUUUGGAUCAAUAUUAAUAUUUUUCAGGAUUUAAUUGUUUUUAUGCAUAUUUUUAAUUGUUUAAAAAUACUUUUUAGUUUCCAAAAAUUAUGAAAUUUGUUCUCCAAGGUCCUUUGACCUUGUUUGACCUAUGAUAAAGUCUCAUGGCCAUUUAUUUGGUGUUUUGAUGAUGUUUUAAGAUUUUGACCAACCAUAAUUUAAUUUAAUACAUUUUUAAUUGAUUUUUAAUUGUUUAAUUGCAAAUAAAUUGUGUUGAGCUAUUUUUAUUGACUUGCUGAGUUUGACUUUUGUUGUUGGGCCUUGGUCAAGGUUGAUUUGACUUUGUUAGAUUAAAAUAAAUGGAUUUAGGGGAUUGAUGAAAUAUACAUUUCAUCUUCCAAAAUGAAUGAAUGAUUUUAAUUUGAUAAAAGUCCUCCUUUGACCAAUUUGUGUUGAUUUCAUUUCCCCUCCUUCUUCCUCUUCAAUCCCUUUCUAUCCCAUUCAUGUCAUUGACCCAUGAUAUCUCUAUAUCCUAAGGCUAGUUGAUUUCAAAAUCAACAUACGUAUGGAUGAGAUUAGGUCCACCCCUUUUCCAUUUUCUUUUAAGUGUGGUAUGUUUUAGGAGUAUGGUUCAUAAUACCAUAUUUCUAACAUGCAUUAACACUAAAACUUCUAUUGCUCGACCUCAGAUAAUCGUGACUUCUACAUAAGUCCAAUUACGAUUGCUUAAUAAAUCGCUAAAUUUUGACCCAAAAAGACAUAGCAUUCUAGUAAGUGAGAUUGUAAGUCUCCCCCCUUUCAUGGUAUUGUGUGGAAACUUGGCUUUUUUCCUUCCUUUGGAAGAUUUAUUGGUUCAAGGAUCCAUGCUUGUGAAUAUAGGGUUGAGUGUUCUCCAAAGAAUGACUUAAACAAUUGAAAAGCAAAAGCAAUACUAACUUCUAAUCAACUAACAUUGAACUAACAUUUAAUUUCAAGCCAUUUACUUUUAUUCACUUUAAAUUCAAGUCUUUAUUCAUUUUCCAUUAUUCAUACCAUUUAACUUGCUUACUUUAAAUGGUAUUUUCACUUUGCUCACUUGAGCCAUAUCUGGUGACUAUAUUGUGAUUGUAUAUACUUGUUUGUGUUGGUGGUAUUUUGACCUUAAUGUACAUAAUAACAACAAAGACUCUAAAAAAGGAUUUGUGUGGACUGUUGGAUUUGAUCUGAGACAUUGGACUUAGAAUUAGGCAACAUUCCCUAUGAAAAAAGGACUUGGCCAAUACCAACUUGUUUCUAAAACCAAGUGCUUGUGAAGAAAACUUUCAUCUGAUGCAAAUAUUAAAGAUCCUUUUGAGUUCAUCUUCUACAUGGUCUUGAUGAAGUUGUUACUUUGAACCUGUGUCUAAUGCCUAUCUCUGAGCCAUUCAAGGAUUUAUGUCAUCUGAUACAUGGGAUAUCAUGAAGAAGAUCAUGAAGUUGCUAGCUUGGAUGUGGCUAUCUUUAUUUGAUGCCUUGCUAUUUGUGUAUUGAUAUUGCUUGAUUCUAAUGUCCAAGGGAAAAUUGGGUUUCUAUAUGACAUUCUUGUCUAUUGGAUUACAUCCCAUUGGUCAGAUAUUUUCAACUUUUAACUUUUAAUUUUUGCUUAGGAUUAGUCUCUUCAUCUCCUCCCACUUCUUUAAUUUCAAAUGUCCCCCCUUUUUUAAAAUAUUCUUUGCUUGUGUUUUCUAAACUUAGACCUUGUUACAAAUCAGAAACUUUGGCCUUAUGCCGUUGCAUUUUCAAAUUCUUUUCUUAAUCAAAUUUGUAAAUAAACUUAACUAUACUUGACUUAAAAUUUCAAAAGACAAAAAGAACUAACACUCAUUCAAACCCUUUUAGGCCUUUUGUGCCUUUGUUAAACUUAAAAUUUUGUUAAAAGCAACUCAUUCACUUUGAAAAUGUUAGCACGAACUACGAGGUUUUGAUCCCUCAUUUUAUGUUGGUACGUAGGCACAAGUCUGAAGGUCUUGUCAAACACAAAAAUAUAAUUAAUGAAUUCUUCUCUCAUCCCCACACUCUAUUUAUUACAAACAUCUUUUAUACCAAAACACAUGUCCACACAAAAAAGGGCUCCCUAGGAGUACUUAAGACACUUUGAGUGCUAACACAUUCCCUCUGUGUAACCAACCCCAUUACCUGUAAUCUCUGGAAUUUUAUUAUUUUUGAUUUGAAAACUUCUUAUCUUUGGGUUUUGUUCGUACUUUUCCCUUUUCCCUUGGAAACAAUAAAAGCGCGGUGGCGACUCUAGAUUAAUUGACGAUAAUUUUAUCCAUAGCUUGAUGGUCAUGAAUUUACCGCUACAGCAGACCCAGUUGAGGUAGCAACCUAUGAGAUGACAGUCCUCUGAGGAGGAGGAAUUGCAGAAGUUGGAGAAGACUAACUCUGAGCAGCUAGAACAAACUCCAUCAUGGCAGUCAAGAGGGCAAUCUCGUCCUUCAACUCUCGGUUCUCUUGUUCCAAAUGUUCCAUGAUUCUCGGAUGAUUGGCACGAGUAUUGUAUCGAUGAGUCAGCCUGGCUGAAGCACAGAAGAAUAAUCAAUAAGACAUCUGCAGAAGAAAAACCUGUUAUGUAAAUGAUGCAUGAAAUGAAAUUUUUUGUUUGUUUUUAUUUUCAAGGAACAUACUAUUUUAUUUGCAAAUUUAUAAUUACAAUUGUAACAAUUUGAUUUACCAUAAAAAUCUCUUAUAUUUAUAUAAUUUGGAAGGAUUACACUGAGUAAAAUUUUAGAAACCAAAAUAUAAAUAUAAGAGAAAAGGAAACUAAUCAUCCUAAGGAUCCCCUAACAACAGUGUUAGAUGAUCUAGCUGCAUGCGGGUACUUCCAUCGGAUGCGUCGGAUCUCGAACUCAAAAGAAGUCUUCAUCUGAGCCUUCUCGAGGACAAGCUGAUCAACAAUCUUCUUCCAAGCACCAGAAGGCUGAGACAUACUGGAGGAAGAUGGACCUUCUGGCUCUCUUUGUCUCUUCACUACUCGGUCUUCAAGAAGUUCAAUAAGCGCAUCUUUGUCCUUAGACUCGAGUUGUAACUCAUCAUGCUUUCAGAUCAAAGCAUGGAACCGCUCUUCCCACAUAUCCUUCUCUUGCUUCAUCUUGGCGAGUGCGUCUUCCAACUCCUCUACAUCUUGGUUAGGGAGAGUUGAUGGCUCAACCACAACCAUAGACAUAGGUCUCUCACAAGCAUAAGACAUCUUCAACUCCAAAGCUCUCUUCUUCACCCAAAUAGUGUAAGCUUCCAAAGCUACACAGUUACAUGGACCAAGCUCGGAUCUUCCUUUCCUAUGCACAUUAUGCCAAGAGUGAAUCAUCUCCUGCUUCAAAAGUUGGGGAUCUUUACCCUCUUGAUAGAAAAUACCUUCUAACUAAGUGUUAUUAGGUUUGUCUCUCAAAGGGAACCCAAAUUGACGACGAGCCAAAGCAGGGUUGUAGUUGAUUCCUCCUUGUGUACCAAUGAGAGGCACAUUAGAGAAUUCACCACAACUAUAAAUAAUCUCCAAGUUGCUCAAUGAAGAAUAAUACCAAACUAUAUCAUUAUUAAUGAGAGGCAUAAGUCUCUGAGACCACCGUAGACAUUGUUUGUUCUCCAUAAAAGUAGGCGUCUGAGGCAAGUGCGAAAUAAACCACUUGUACAGAAGAGGAACACAACACACAAUAGUUCCACCACCUUUAGAAUUCCUCAAGUGAAAAGAGAAGUACACAUCACCCAACAAAGUAGGCACAAGAUUCCCAAUCAAGAAGAAUCUAAUGGCAUUAACAUCAAUAAAAUCGUCAGUGUUAGAGAACAAAGCCAAACCAUUGAUGAGCAACACAAAGAUGGCUUUGAAAGCAUCCACACUACCGGCUUGAGCAAAGGCAGUAGCUUUCCCAAUAAGGAACUCAGAAGUCAACCCAAACAUUCCUCCUUUCUUCAUCCAAUGAGCCUUAAUCUCAGACUUCUUCAAGUGAAGAGCUUCGGCUAUGAUAUGAGAUCUGGGAAUCUCGUCCAAUCCACUAAAAGGCACUUUGUUAGAAAUGGGUAUUCCUAAGAGAUGGGCAUACUCCUCCAAUGUAGGCAUAAUCUGAUAAUCGGGAAACGUGAAGCAACGGUAGAGAGGGUCAUAAAAUUGAACCAACACACUCAAGAGCCAUUACACUACAUCAGCAGAUAACACAGAUAACAACUUCCCAUGACGUUGUUUGAAGUCCAAGGAAUCUAAUACAAAAGAUGAUAGCUUCCUUAGCUCUUUCAAGUCGGGACAUCUGAAAAUUUACUUCUUAGUGUUCCUUCGCCCAUAAUCCAUGGUCUAAAAAUAUUUGCAAAUACAACCUCAGUUCCUUGAAGUUAUUUUUCGUGUGAUCGAUGUUAUGAUGCGCAUGUAUGCAUGAAUGCAACAAUCAUAAAUAAGGGAUCACACACAAGGUAAACAAACAAAGGUCAAGGUAUGAAUCAAGUCAUUGUUAAGAUCAAUCAUCCAUUUUGGUGGAUUAUGGUUUUCACCUUAUCAACACCAAAGUUCCAUUGAUAUUGACAAGACUUGAUUGGAUCAACCAAGAAUCAAGGGUUUGUUGUGAGUCACGAGCAUGGAGUCAGGUUAAGAACCAUCCCAAAGGAGUGUAAUAAGGAUAAAACCUGUAGAUCAUGUUUUAAAAAGUUCCCAGAGUCUUAAUUCCAUCUAUCAGAUAUUACACGUUAGGAUGACUGACUCAUCAACCCAUAAUAUUCUCAAAAGAAACUCGUCUGAGUGUAGUAUCGCGUAACAAUUGUUAUCAAGUCUGCACCUGAACAGUCUCCGCACUACGUCCUAAAUAGGCCAAGUUGGGUUAAAUGUUCUAUGGUCCUCAACUUCUCGGACCCCAAAUUAGAGAAAGCAAUGCCUAACCACAAAUAACUUAUGUGACAUCAGUAACUCCAAAAGGGUCUCCACUAAUUAGAUGGAUCUCAAGCCAACUUGUUAAGGACUACUCCACACAAGUUGAACAUGAUUAUACCAUCCUCCUAUCUUAAUUACACUCAUGUUCAGGUUAAAACUUAUCUCACCACUCAAAGAUCACCAAGCACAACAAGCAGAUUAUAUCAGAGAAAAAAUAUACAAAUAUAUACACAUAAAAAAGUAGGCUAACCCCACUGAGGACUACUCCCCAGCAGAGUCGCCACGUAAUUUUUGUAAUGGUAAAUUCAUGACCAAUAAGCUAUGGAUAAACUUAACGUCAAUUAAACUAGAGCCGCCACCGCGCUUUUAUUGUUUCCAAAAGGAAAAGAAAAAAGUACGAACAAAACCCAAAGAUAAGAAGUUUUCAAAUCAAAACUAAUAAAAUGCCAGAGAUUACAGGUAAGGGGGUUGGUUACACAGAGGGAAGGUGUUAGCACCCAAAGUGUCCUAGGUAGUCUUAGGGAGCCCUUUUUUAUGUAUGUAUGUGUUUUGGUAUAAAAGAUGUUUGAGAAAAAUAGAGUGUGGGGAUGACAAAAGAAUUCAAUGAUUAUAUUUUUGUGUUUGAUAAAACCUUCAUACUUGUGCCUACAUACCAACAUAAAAAUGAGGGAUCAAAAUCUCGUAGUUCGUGGUAACAAUUUCAAAAUAGAGGUUGUUGAAUCAAAGCUUGGGCAUGAGGUCCCUAUUUCUGAGCAAGAGAGGUCUUAUUUAUAGGCCAUGAGAUUGAUAAUUGCACACUUCCAUUUUUGACAAAAGUUUGAAAAUCUCUCUUGCAUGCUUGCAUGGGCGUGUGAUAGGCCCAUCAAGUGAUGCACUUAGGUCCAAAAUUGAGUCUAAGUCAUGCUGAAAUCAUGUUGUCAAACCAUGCAUUCGUGUAUGAAAAGUGGAACUUGAAACCAUCCAAAUGGUCCUUCAACUUUAACCAAUGUGCAAGUGCCUCAUACUUUGUCCAAAUGAGAUGAUUUUAGACUUUUUGGAAAGGUUAGAUCAAGAGGAACAACUCAUGUUUAACACUUUUUCAUUUAAAGCUUGGAUCAUGAUGUAUUUUGAGGUGAAAGUUUGGAAAAUCAAACAUAUCAAAACAAAUUCUAAGUACCAAGCCAUAUGUUCACUUCUUCCACCUUGAAUAACUUUUUUAUGGACCUCAAAUGAGAAAAGUUUAUUCAUCAAAGUUGUAAAAAUUUCAAAUCCCUUCAAUUUGGUGACAAAUUGGACCUCAUUUGGAUUUAUCAUGAAGAAGUUAUGCAUUUUAGAAGUUGAGGAAAAUCACUUGUUUAAUGGUAUUGGCCCAAAAUGACCUAUAAUGUUUUCUCUUGGCACAUGCAUUUUCAAGCUGAAUUUGAACUUCCCCCAUACAUCAAAAGUUAAGUAGACAUAUUGAAUUUAAUCAUGCAACUUGAAUGGCUUUAAUAUCAUAAAAAUUGAGCAAGUUAUGGUCUUGGGAAGUUGACCUCCAAACUAGGGUUUAGACAAAAUGACCUAUAACCUUUCACAAUAAAAAAUGACUUUCCAAGCAAAACUAGCUCUUGACAUAAACAUGAAAGUUGUUUGGAAAGUCAUUUAGAGUAACGUAGCUCUUGGAAUAAUUUUCAUAUGACAGAAAUUGUAGGAGAUAGGGAACCCCAGUUUUGACUAGUUGACUUUCUCUAGUCAACCACCAUGAACCAACUUGCUAUCUUGAUAUUCUCUUGACUUUGGGGAUUCAUCGAGGAUCAUAUAUGAAUAAGAUGAUGUAAUGUGAAGUAUCCCAUGAAAUAUUUGAUCAAUUGGUGAAGAAACUUGUUGAAGAAGUCACACAAGAUACCCAGAUGAAUUAGGAUUUCCAAGGCAAACCAACUCUAAACUCUUGGUGAUUUUUUUAUCAAAACAACAUGUGAAGAUCAUGGGGAUCCAUAUAUGAUACUUAUAUCCAAUGUAAACCUUUUCUUGAUUGAGCUCCUUGCAUUGAGGGUUUUAAACCCUAGAUAUGAGCUUGAUAGAACAUAGGUGAGCAUACCCACUACCUACAAAAGAGUUAAACUAUACAUUGACAUAUUUUUGGUAUUUUGGUUAGUAAAUGAUAAAAAAACUAAGUAUGAUACAAUCAAAUUGUGUUUGGUGAUCUCUCCUAAUGCAAACCCAAUUAAUUAGGGGUAAGGAGGAUGCAAAGGUGUGAUCCCAAUGCUAAUGUAUAUGAUGAGAUGACAUGAGAGAUCUUAGGGUCAAAAUUGGGGUCUUACAGCCAAAUGGUCAGCAUACUCGGUAAGCACUGACCGGUCAAUGGGUCCUCUAAAAAAUCCUUCAUCGGUGUGCACAGAGAGCUCGAUCGAAGGAGUUGAAACCUCCAUGUCCGCAGUAACAGACGGUCAACAACAUCAGCAUCUGGCUUGACCACCCGAGCAACCUCCUUCAAACCAACAUCCUCAAUAACAACUGAAUGUGCAACUUCCUCAACCACCAUAUUAACCACUUCAUCAGCAACAAUAACAUCUAACACCACCUAAUCUCUAGGUUGCUCUACUGACUGUAUCGAUCGGCGUCGAGUGCUACGAGGUGCCCAGAACUGACCCUGCUCGAUCAACCACUUCUGGUGUGAACUGGUUGAGGCCACUCGUCUAGCCCGUAUAUGGGAAGACUCAGCGUCAUCACCUUUAGCAGCCCUAGCCUAGUCUCUUGCUCGAUCAACAGCUCUCCCUGCAAUAUGUCGUCUCUGUCUCUAUAAAUUUCAAAAUAAUUUAAAAUAAUUUUACAAAGACAGUGUUGACUUUUCAUACGCAAUGGGGGAUGUCUGAUCUAAAUGAAGAGUGUCAAGUUAAAUGCUCAAAUAGUAGUUAUAAAGGGUAUUCAAGCCUUACAAAAAUAAAGAAUAAAACCUCUCAUGUCUUAUUACACAAAGGAGAUAGAAAAAGGAGCAAUAUUAAGCGAGAGAUAUUAAAUAAUCGAUUUAUAAUUUCUUAACUAGUACAAAAUAAACUUAAAGGUGUCUAUAUAUUUAUAUAGCAAGUAAACAUAAUCACGGAUCCUCUUUUAUGUUUGAAUAUUUUAUUAUAAAUAGGUUGCGUAGAUAAGGAGUAUGUAUAUUCAUGUCUAUUUGUCUUACUCUAUUAUUUGGUAUGACCCUUAUUUACAAGGUUUUUCUAAGUGCCUUAUAUGCAUGCCAUUUUGUUUUGAUGUUAAACAAUAUCAUCUAUUUUACCACCCUAUUUCAUUUUUCAAUUUAAAAUGGCAAAUGUUCAUCUUUACACGUCUUUCAAAAGUUCAUAUUAAAAAUUUGAAGUAGAAUAUGAUGAUACCUCUUAUAAAAGGUUCAUCUUUAGACGUCUUUUAAAAGCUUCAUAUUAAAAAUGGUAAAAGGUUCAUCUUUACUACAAGACAUGCUUCUCUAUGUAUAUAUAUAAACCUCUUUCUCAUUCAUUCAAACCUCACAAUCCUCUUAUAACUCUUAAACUCUUGAGUUAUUUCUCUCUUUAUUAACUAUGUCAACUUCUCUUGAUUAUGAUGAUCUCUUAGAAAAAAGCAAAAAAAUUCUUGACUUCAUAGAGGAUGUUACUACACAUGCAGAUGAAAUCCAAAAGAAAGUGUUAGCUGAAAUUCUGUCUCACAAUGCAAAUGUUGAGUACUUACAAAGACAUGGUCUCAAUGGCCAAACUGAUAGUGAAACCUUCAAGAAACUUGUCCCUAUCAUAACCUAUGAUGAUAUCAAAAAUGAUAUUAACCGUAUUGCUAAUGGUGAUACUUCUCCAAUCCUUACCUCAAACCCUAUUUCACACUUUCUCACUAGGUGAAACUUGGUUUUGGUUUAGUUGGAAAUUUAAGAUUAUAUUUAUAUGCUAACUACAUAUUAAUUGGCUUGUUUUGGUUAUUUUUGGUAUUGCAGCUCAGGAACAUCUGGUGGUGAGAGAAAGUUGAUGCCAGCAACAGAAGAAGAAUCCGGAAGAAGAUAUUUUCUAUAUAGUCUUUUGAUGCCAGUAAUUAGUCAAUUUGUUCCUGACCUAGAAAAAGGCAAAGGAAUGUACCUAAUGUUCAUAAAAAGUGAAUUUAAAACACCAGGAGGCAUUAAAGCUAGUCCUGUGCUCACAAACUACUACAAAAGUUCUCAUUUUAUAAACAGGUCUUCUGAUCCAUACACAAAUUACACAAGUCCAAAUGAAACUGUUGUUUGUCUUGACUCAUACCAAAGUAUGUAUUCACAACUUCUAUGUGGUCUUUGUCAAAACAAAGAGGUCCUUCGCGUCGGUGCUGUUUUCGCUUCCGGUCUCAUUCGCGCCAUUCGGUUCCUCGAGAAAAAUUGGUCACUUCUUUGCGAUGAUAUAAGAACAGGAACAAUUAAUCCUCUCAUCACUGACACUUCAGUGAGAGAGGCUGUGAUGAAGAUUCUCAAACCUGAUAAAAAUCUUGCUGAUUUUGUUGAAUUUGAGUGUAGCAAAGGUUGUUGGCAAGGUAUUAUAACUAGGUUGUGGCCUAAUACUAAGUAUGUUGAUGUUAUUGUGACAGGAUCAAUGGCACAGUAUAUUCCUACUUUGGAUUAUUAUAGUAAUGGUCUUCCACUUGUUUGUACUAUGUAUGCUUCCAGUGAAUGUUUUUUUGGUGUUAACCUUAAUCCUCUUAGUAAACCUUGUCACGUGUCUUAUACCCUUAUCCCUACCAUGUGCUACUAUGAGUUCUUACCUGUUAAUAGAAGUAAUGAUCCUGUGAAUGAGAAAGAACAACAAGAGUUAGUGGAUCUUGUUGAUGUCAAGCUUGAUCAAGAAUAUGAGCUUGUUGUUACCACUUAUGCUGGUGAGUUAUUUAUUUACUAUCAAUAUUUUUUGUGGAAACUAAAAAUCUGUAUUAAUUUCUAUCUGAUUUAAACUUUUAAAAAUAAACAAUUAAAAUAUAGGUUUACUAAUAAACAUGAGUGUGACAAUUACAGGACUUUAUAGGUACAAAGUGGGAGAUGUAUUGAAAGUGACAGGAUUCAAGAACAAUGCACCGCAAUUCAAAUUUGUGUGCAGAAAAAACGUUGUUCUAAGCAUAGAAUCAGACAAAACAGACGAAGUUGAGCUACAAAAUGCAAUUAAAAAUGGUGUCACGCAUUUAGCACCAUAUGAUGCAGACGUAGCGGAGUACACUAGUUAUGCAGACACAAGCACAAUUCCAGGACACUAUGUGUUGUAUUGGGAGUUAAACCUUAAAGGUUCAACAACAAUUCCAGAUUGUGUUUAUGAAGAUUGUUGUUUAACUAUUGAAGAGUCGUUUAACAGUGUUUAUCGACAAGGUCGUGUUUCGGACAAAUCAAUUGGGCCACUUGAGAUUAGAAUUGUGGAGCAAGGGACAUUUGAUCAACUUAUGGAUUAUAUUAUUAGUGUGGGAGGUUCAAUAAAUCAAUACAAAACUCCUAGGUGUGUGAAAUCUGCACCUCUUGUGGAGCUUUUGGAGUCAAGAGUUAUGGCAAAGUAUUUUAGUCCUAAAUGUCCACAAUGGGUUCCUGGUCGUAAGGAUUGGAUUAAUGAUGAUAAUUGAAAGAGUAAUGCAAAUUUGGAUAGAUAUUAUAGAUUGGUUGUUGAUAUAUAUGUGGUUAUGUUUGUAUGGAUAUAAAACUAGUUACUAUAAUUAGAAUAAAGGAAUCCAUGUUUGUAAGUUUCUUUACAAACUUUGUCUGUCCAACUUUGAGGUGGGUCUUGUCCAUGCAUAUUGAUCUUACCCUUUUAAUU